UCCAUUGCCGAAUGGUUCCGCUACUACGGAUCCCCGGGACUCUCCCCUUAGGGGGUGUGACCAUGACUCUGUGCCUGGUCUGAGGAUGCCCUCCGUCGUCAUCCCUUAUAACCAGUUACCAGCCCUCUGACUUGGUCGGUACGGCGCACGCCCUUCUUCCGGGAUGCCCAGCAUUUGGCGAAAACAUGCCCUUGUUGGCAUCCAUGCACAUGGAUGGACUCACAUGGCAUUCUUAUUCCUAGCCGAUUGAGGCACGGUCGUCGGCGCCAUUAUGCCUCCUAGGCUCGCAAUAGGCCUUAAUAACCCAAAUUUCCCACGCAUCCGCCGUAAAAUUCAGUCCCCACUUUAUGUAGCCGAGUUGGCCACGUCACGGGAACUUUGACUUCACGAACUUACACAAGCUUCCUCCGCCUUGCCCUGUUCAUCGCCACUUUACGUAUCUAUACAGGGUCUUGGGGCUAACGCGUCCGUCGAAGGAUCCGGUGCUAACUGCGACUACGUGCUUUCGCACCCAUAGCUUGUCCUAAUCUAUGGGACCAUCAGGUGCGGGAUUUGCUACUACUGAGCUACAAACGCUAUAUCACAUUCGCAGGUUCGCUUUCGCAAUUCAGUAGGUG
rnacentral:rRNA from 1 species